UACGUAGGGGGCAAGCGUUGUCCGGAAUUACUGGGCGUAAAGGGCUCGUAGGCGGCCAACUAAGUCGGACGUGAAAUCCCCAGGCUCAACCUGGGAACUGCGUCCGAUACUGGAUGGCUUGAAUUCGGGAGAGGGAUGCAGAAUUCCAGGUGUAGCGGUGAAAUGCGUAGAUAUCUGGAGGAAUACCGGUGGCGAAGGCGGCAUCCUGGACCAUAACUGACGCUGAGGCGCGAAAGCUAGGGGAGCAAACGGG
rnacentral:rRNA from 1 species